AGGAGCCGAGGAGGGGUAUACCGUACUGUUUCUCCAUUCCCGUUCCCAGAUUUGGUUGAACGUCGUCCCCCCCCCCCCCCCCCCAGGCGGCGGGGAACCCCAACAAAAAAAGCGUUUUAGGCAUUUUGCACCCCAUUUCGCAGGCCAUUUUCACGUUCCUCGUUCCUCAGCAACCCACGUCUCUCUGAGAGAUAGUGUUUAUCAGCUGCACUGCACUCCUCCGCCACUCACGUGAACUACGUCAUCAGAUUUUUCGGAGAGAAGUUCUCCAGUCGUCGGCGUCGUCUGUGACCGAAGAGGAACUGCCUACUGAUUCUGAGCCAUCAAGAAUGAAGGAGACAAGGAAAAACUUAUUUAGUAGUGGAAGUGAUGAGCAGCACAAUGAUAUGAAGUUAUCAAUUUGUAGGGACUUCGGAAAUGGAUCCAAUCGAGCAGGGAAAAAGAAGAUUUCAUGGCAAGACCAUGUGGCUUUUUGAGAGUUUGAGAUCUUGGUUGGUUCAAUUGGUGUUGAAGAUCCUCUAUAGUGGCUGGGGGCAAAAAUUGAUUAGUUGUUCAGUAUGUAUUUUAUCUCACGCCAUUAAAUUGUACUGUUUUGAUGUGAGAGGGAUUGUGCGAGAGAGCGGCUGAAUGGAGGGGGGAGACGGGCUGGGGAUUGAAACUCAUUGUAUUCAUGUGAAGAGGCUAGGGGUGGGUUUGGGUGUUGAUAAGUGUUGAAGAGAGUUGUGAAUAGUAAUAAAAAGUAGGUAAAAAAUAAUGAAUAGUAGUAAAAGUAUGUGAAAAGUAAUAAUAAAAUAAUAAAUAGUAGUGAAAAGUGUUGAGGAGAGUUAAGGUACUCUUAGUACUGUAACACACCCUAAAUCUCCAUCAAAGUAUAGAUGAGAGCAAAGAAAAUGUAUUGAUAUAAAGAGGAAUUGAAUAUCUGUUGCACAUUUGUCCAA